CCCGUUCCCAUCCCGAACACGGAAGUUAAGGGCCCCAUCGCCGAGGGUACUGCGCGGUUCGCGCGCGGGAGAGUAGGGCGCCGCCGGGA
rnacentral:rRNA from 1 species